GGAAACAGAUGCUAAUACCGGAUAACAACACUAGACGCAUGUCUAGAGUUUAAAAGAUGGUUCUGCUAUCACUCUUGGAUGGACCUGCGGUGCAUUAGCUAGUUGGUAGGGUAACGGCCUACCAAGGCGAUGAUGCAUAGCCGAGUUGAGAGACUGAUCGGCCACAUUGGGACUGAGACACGGCCCAAACUCCUACGGGAGGCAGCAGCC
rnacentral:rRNA from 1 species